GAAGAAAGGAUAAAGGAGCGGCGGUGCGGCGACCUAGGCAGGAGUUCGCCGGAGCGAGGAGACGGCGGACGGGCGCGGGAGACAGAGGAAUCCGGCGAGGGGGCGUGAAGUCCUUGCAGGUGGAGGCGGGCCAAGAGGGAUCAAAUCGAGACCAAGAGGCCACAGGGAGCGCUCGUGGAGAUGCGUCAUCACCUCAGGCGGACGACGCCACGGCCAUGUCUUCGUCGCCCCUCCCACCGCGAGGAAGAUUACGCCAAGCUAGGCAGCGGCGCUGGGCUGUACGUGGAGCCUCCGUCAGCCGCCUCCGCCCUCCAUACUGAUGCUCCAUCCUCUGUUUCGAUUGGCUCUGCUCCAAGUUCGACAGACCACUGGUGCUACGCCUCGACCUGCUCUGUCACUCCAUGGCACUCCUCCGUCAGACCCCAUCCAACCUUGUAAGAUAACUUACGUGUGGACAAGCCUAGCACAGCUAGCUAUUUGCAUACUUGAUAGUUCCUCUUCUGAAGAUAUGAGUUAACUUUCUGAACCUAUGCACACAAAACCAAGUAUUUCUUAGAUUUCUUUGC
rnacentral:rRNA from 1 species